CACAUGCAAGUCGAGCGAGAACCGCAGGUGGGGUAACCCACCUGCGGGGAAAGCGGCGAACGGGUGAGUAACACGUGGGCAACCUGCCCCAGACUCUGGGAUAACCUCGGGAAACCGGGGCUAAUACCGGAUACUCUCGGCGGAUCGCAUGGUCCGGCGAGGAAAGUUCCGGCGGUCUGGGAUGGGCCCGCGGCCUAUCAGCUUGUUGGUGGGGUAACGGCCCACCAAGGCGACGACGGGUAGCUGGCGUGAGAGCGUGGCCAGCCACACUGGGACUGAGACACGGCCCAGACUCCUACGGGAGGCAGCAGUGGGGAAUCUUGGGCAAUGGGCGAAAGCCUGACCCAGCGACGCCGCGUGGGGGAUGAAGGCCUUCGGGUUGUAAACCCCUUUCAGCGGGGACGGAGCGAAAGUGACGGUAC
rnacentral:rRNA from 1 species